rnacentral:tRNA from 1 species
GGCAGUUUGGCGGAGUGGUCUAACGCGCUAGACUGUGAGUACACCCAUCAGAAAGUGUUCCAGAGUCAUUACUAAUCAUAUAACAGUGAAUCAAGCUUCGAGUUAUCUAGUCCAUUCGUGGGCGCAGGUUCGAACCCUGCAACUGUCG